UCCAGACUCCUACGGGAGGCAGCAGUCGGGAAUAUUGCGCAAUGGAGGAAACUCUGACGCAGUGACGCCGCGUAUAGGAAGAAGGUUUUCGGAUUGUAAACUAUUGUCCACAGGGAAGAAAAAAGACUGUACCUGUGAAGAAAGCUCCGGCUAACUCCGUGCCAGCAGCCGCGGUAAUACGGAGGAUGCGAGCGUUAUCCGGAUUUAUUGGGUUUAAAGGGUGCGCAGGCGGCGUGUCAAGUCAGCGGUAAAAUGUCGGGGCUCAACCCCGGCCGGCCGUUGAAACUGGCGUGCUCGAGUUGGAGAGAAGUAUGCGGAAUUCGUGGUGUAGCGGUGAAAUGCAUAGAUAUCACGAAGAACCCCGAUUGCGAAGGCAGCAUACCGGCUCCACACUGACGCUGAGGCACGAAAGCGUGGGUAUCGAACAGGAUUAGAUACCCCCGUAGAA
rnacentral:rRNA from 1 species